AGAUCGAUAGAUAGAUAGAUAGAUAGAUAGAUAGAUAGAUAGAUAGAUAGAUAGAUAGACAGAUAAUUAGAUAGAUAGAUAGAUAGAUAGAUAGAUAGAUAGAUAGAUAGACAGAUAGAUAGAUAGAUAGAUAGAUAGAUAGAUAGAUAGAUAGAUAGAUAGAUAGACAGAUAGAUAGAUAGAGAAACAGAUAGAUAGACAGAUAAUUAGAUAGAUAGAUAGAUAGAUAGAUAGAUAGAUAGACAGAUAGAUAGAUAGAUAGAUAGAUCGAUAGAUAGAUAGAUAGAUAGAUAGAUAGAUAGAUAGAUAGAUAGAUAGAUAGAUUGUUGCUAAAACUAGAAUACAAACCCUGCUAACAAGGUUUUAAGGUUUGUAGAACAUUUUCUGAACGUUACGCUUCUAGGAACAUUUGGUUCAUCGAAUAUUCUGACAAAUUUCUUAGUAUUUUAAGAAUUUUUAAUUUUUUUUUUUUUUGAAAUCUAAAGAUUCCUACAAUGAUUAAUUGUAUGAACAUUAGCACUAACACAUAACUGGGACAGUGGUGGCGUGGAGGUUAAGGCUCUGGGUUGCUGCUCGGAAGGUCAGGGGUUCAAGCUGCCACUGUUGGGCCCUUGAGCAAGGCCCUUACCCCUCUCUGCUCCAGGGGGCGCUGUAUCAUGGCUGACCCUGCGCUCUGACCCUAACAUGCUGGGGUAUGUGAAGAAAAGAAUUUCAUUAUGCUGUA
ensembl:lncRNA